ACUGCGCCGAAAAUGUACCGGGGCUAAACAUAUUACCAAAGCUGUGGAGUGUCCUUUGGACAAUGGUAGGAGAGCGUUCUAAGGGCGUUGAAGCAUGAUCGUAAGGACAUGUGGAGCGCUUAGAAGUGAGAAUGCCGGUGUGAGUAGCGAAAGACGGGUGAGAAUCCCGUCCACCGAUUGACUAAGGUUUCCAGAGGAAGGCUCGUCCGCUCUGGGUUAGUCGGGUCCUAAGCUGAGGCCGACAGGCGUAGGCGAUGGAUAACAGGUUGAUAUUCCUGUACCACCUAUAAUCGUUUUAAUCGAUGGGGGGACGCAGUAGGAUAGGCGAAGCGUGCG
rnacentral:rRNA from 1 species